rnacentral:rRNA from 1 species
AGUGAACGCUGGCGGUAGGCCUAACACAUGCAAGUCGAACGGCAGCACAGUAAGAGCUUGCUCCUACGGGUGGCGAGUGGCGGACGGGUGAGGAAUACAUCGGAAUCUACUUUUUCGUGGGGGAUAACGUAGGGAAACCUACGCUAAUACCGCAUACGACCUACGGGUGAAAGCAGGGGAUCUUCGGACCUUGCGCGAUUGAAUGAGCCGAUGUCGGAUUAGCUAGUUGGCGGGGUAAAGGCCCACCAAGGCGACGAUCCGUAGCUGGUCUGAGAGGAUGAUCAGCCACACUGGAACUGAGACACGGUCCAGACUCCUACGGGAGGCAGCAGUGGGGAAUAUUGGACAAUGGGCGCAAGCCUGAUCCAGCCAUACCGCGUGGGUGAAGAAGGCCUUCGGGUUGUAAAGCCCUUUUGUUGGGAAAGAAAAGCAGCAGGUUAAUACCCCGCUGUUCUGACGGUACCCAAAGAAUAAGCACCGGCUAACUUCGUG